CGAAGGUAGCAUAAUCAGUAGUCUUUUAAUUGGAGGCUGGUAUGAAUGGUUGGACGAAAUAUUAACUGUUUCAUUUAAAAUUUAAAUAGAAUUUUAUUUUUUAGUUAAAAAGCUAAAAUUAUAUUAAAAGACGAGAAGACCCUAUAAAUCUUAAUAUUUAUAUUAUUUUAAUUUUAAAGAUUAUAUUAAUUAUAAUUUUUAUAAAUAUUUUAUUGGGGUGAUAUUAAAAUUUAACUAACUUUUAAUUUAAAAACCAUUGAUUUAUGAUUAAUUGAUCCGUUAUUAACGAUUAAAAAUUUAAGUUACUUUAGGGAUAACAGCGUAAUUUUUUUGGAGAGUUCAUAUCGAUAAAAAAGAUUGCGACCUCGAUGUUGGAUUAA
rnacentral:rRNA from 1 species